rnacentral:rRNA from 1 species
UACGGGGGGAGCAAGCGUUGUUCGGAUUUACUGGGCGUAAAGAGCGCGCAGGCGGUCGAUCAAGUCGAGUGUGAAAGCCCCCGGCUCAACUGGGGAGGGUCAUUCGAAACUGGUCGACUCGAAGGCAGGAGAGGGUAGUGGAAUUCCCGGUGUAGUGGUGAAAUGCGUAGAUAUCGGGAGGAACACCAGUGGCGAAGGCGACUACCUGGCCUGUUCUUGACGCUGAGGCGCGAAAGCUAGGGGAGCAAACGGG